rnacentral:rRNA from 1 species
GAUGAACGCUGACAGAAUGCUUAACACAUGCAAGUCAACUGUGGCGGACGGGUGAGUAACGCGUAAAGAACUUGCCUCACAGAUAGGGACAACAUUUGGAAACGAAUGCUAAUACCUGAUACUGUGAGAGAGCUUUGCGUCCCAUUAGCUCGUUGGAGAGGUAACGGCUCACCAAGGCGAUGAUGGGUAGCCGGCCUGGGAGGGUGAUCGGCCACAAGGUGACUGAGACACGGCCCGUACUCAUACGGGAGGCAGCAGGGGGGAAUAUUGGAAAAUGGACCAAAGUCUGAUCCAGCAAUUCUGUGUGCAAGAUGAAGUUUUCGGAAUGUAAAGUGCUUUCAGUUGGGAAGCGGUACCAACAGAAGAAGUGACGGCUAAAUCCGUGCCAGCCGCCGCGGUAAUAC